AUUGAACGCUGGCGGCAUGCUUUACACAUGCAAGUCGGACGGCAGCGCGGGCUUCGGCCUGGCGGCGAGUGGCGAACGGGUGAGUAAUACAUCGGAACGUGCCCCGUAGUGGGGGAUAGCUCGGCGAAAGCCGGAUUAAUACCGCAUACGACCUGCGGGUGAAAGCGGGGGACUUUAGGGCCUCGCGCUAUUGGAGCGGCCGAUGGCAGAUUAGCUAGUUGGUGGGGUAAAGGCCUACCAAGGCGACGAUCUGUAGCUGGUCUGAGAGGACGACCAGCCACACUGGGACUGAGACACGGCCCAGACUCCUACGGGAGGCAGCAGUGGGGAAUUUUGGACAAUGGGCGCAAGCCUGAUCCAGCAAUGCCGCGUGUGUGAUGAAGGCCUUCGGGUUGUAAAGCACUUUUGGCAGGAACGAAAAGUGCCGUGCUAAUACCACGGUACGAUGACGGUACCUGCAGAAUAAGCACCGGCUAACUACGUG
rnacentral:rRNA from 1 species